rnacentral:antisense_RNA from 1 species
CUGACACCAAAUGUGGUGUUCCAUCACCACAUUUAUAGAAAAAUAUAUUACAAUUAUUGGUUUCUAUGUCUGUUUCCAGUUCUCCUCAACUUGCUCCUCAAGCCCCCCUAGGCUGUGCUACUGUUUCAUAUAUGGUUAAUUCUUAUGCGGCUUUAGAGGACUUAUAAUUGAACAUGCACACCCAAGAGCUCCUGU